UUUAUGGAGAGUUUGAUCCUGGCUCAGGAUGAACGCUGGCGGCGUGCCUAAUACAUGCAAGUCGAGCGAACGGACGAGAAGCUUGCUUCUCUGAUGUUAGCGGCGGACGGGUGAGUAACACGUGGAUAACCUACCUAUAAGACUGGGAUAACUUCGGGAAACCGGAGCUAAUACCGGAUAAUAUUUUGAACCGCAUGGUUCAAAAGUGAAAGACGGUCUUGCUGUCACUUAUAGAUGGAUCCGCGCUGCAUUAGCUAGUUGGUAAGGUAACGGCUUACCAAGGCAACGAUGCAUAGCCGACCUGAGAGGGUGAUCGGCCACACUGGAACUGAGACACGGUCCAGACUCCUACGGGAGGCAGCAGUAGGGAAUCUUCCGCAAUGGGCGAAAGCCUGACGGAGCAACGCCGCGUGAGUGAUGAAGGUCUUCGGAUCGUAAAACUCUGUUAUUAGGGAAGAACAUAUGUGUAAGUAA
rnacentral:rRNA from 1 species